AUUGAACGCUGGCGGCAGGCUUAACACAUGCAAGUCGAACGAGUGGCGGACGGGUGAGUAAUGCUUGGGAAACUUGCUUAUGGAGGGGGAUAACUACGGGAAACUGUCUCUUAUACCGCCUACCAUAGGAUUAGCCCAAGUGGGAUUAGGUGGUUGGUGAGGUAAAGGCUCACCAGGCCGACGAUCUCUAGCUGGUCUGAGAGGAUGACCAGCCAAACUGGGAUGGAGACAGGGCCCAGCCUCCUACGGGAGGAAGCAGUGGGGAAUAUUGCGAAAGGGGGGCAAGCUGACGAAGCCAUGCCGCGUGAAUGAAGAGGGCCUUCGGGUUGUAAAGUUCUUUAGUUAGCGAGGCGUUAACUGCAGAAGAAGCACCGGCUAACUACGUGCCAGCCGCCGCGGUAAUUC
rnacentral:rRNA from 1 species